AGUGAACGCUGGCGGUAGGCCUAACACAUGCAAGUCGAACGGCAGCACAGGAGAGCUUGCUCUCUGGGUGGCGAGUGGCGGACGGGUGAGGAAUACAUCGGAAUCUACCUUUUUCGUGGGGGAUAACGUAGGGAAACUUACGCUAAUACCGCAUACGACCUACGGGUGAAAGUGGGGACCGCAAGGCCUCACGCGAUUAGAUGAGCCGAUGUCCGAUUAGCUAGUUGGCGGGGUAAUGGCCCACCAAGGCGACGAUCGGUAGCUGGUCUGAGAGGAUGAUCAGCCACACUGGAACUGAGACACGGUCCAGACUCCUACGGGAGGCAGCAGUGGGGAAUAUUGGACAAUGGGCGCAAGCCUGAUCCAGCCAUACCGCGUGGGUGAAGAAGGCCUCGGUUGUAA
rnacentral:rRNA from 1 species